CACCCGAUAGCACACGGCGUGCAUCUGUCUAUCUUAUAUGGACUUUAAGACGAUCAAUAUGAGCAGAAGACCCCGUUCGACUCGGGGUCGGGUGA